AUAAGCCACAAUCGCCUCACGACCGCAGAGGACGCGCAACAGCUGGCUGAGUGCAGUUCCCUCUCCUGUCUUGACCUUUCACACAAUAAGAUCAAUCAAGCGGAGAUUGUCCAGGUCUUGAGUGUCAUGCCAGAGCUCAGGGUACUGCAGCUAACAGGUAACCCGGCGACUCGUGAGGUGCGACCUUACCGCAACACCCUCAUCACAACUUGCUCGAACCUGACCUACUUGGACGACCGCCCUGUCUUCCCAGUGGACAGAGCCGCUGCCGAGGCAUGGCUUGAAGGCGGAGUGGAGGCUGAGAGAGCCAUGAGAAGGCAGUGGGCAGAGCGAGAUCACCAACGUCA